rnacentral:hammerhead_ribozyme from 15 species
AACUGGUUGGGAGCUGAUGCCACUCUCCUGAUGAGGCCAUGGCAGACCAAAACUAGUU